CGGUCUCGUGUCAUAUCGCCUUCUGAAAUUCCCCAGACCUGCAGGUGGCUGCCAGGCACGGUCAAGAACGGAACCCCAGCCUCCCAAGUUUACAACCCACCAGCCGCCACGGUCCAGACUGACCUAUUUAAAGCCAACGGACACAUUCCAGGCUAUUCCGGAGUGAAUCUAUAAGGCGCGCCUCAGAGCAACGUUAGUUUACAAUACAACUACUGCCUAUAAAACCAGACCUAUCCAGAAGUUAUAAAACUGAUGUUUUUCUGGCUAGGAUCAACUGACCUAGGUAACGUUAACACUGUUAUCCCGUUACAUAGCCGGGUAAAGGCCCUUCGAAAAAGCCACAACUAACUUCGCGCAUCACGUCCAAUAUUGUGCGCUGGGGUUGUCGACGGGAAGCGCACACGUUUUUGUUAGCAACAUUAGCUUGUGUCUCUAUCGCAAAGAACACGGCCAUCGUAUAAAGUAUUUUAUUAUCUAAGUUAGCGUCCGUUGUCGUAACUGAUAAGAUAAACCGAUUUAGAGCUGUACUCGCGGAAAUAGACGAGAAUGAGAUUGGCCGGACGACUGUAACGUUAUCGCAAGCAAUGCUACAGCGUGACCGACUGCGCUGUCAACCAAGACAGAAAAAAGGAAGGACAGCGCUGACUGUGCGAAGGUCGCUGGGGUUGCUGGAGCCCAUCGGGAAGACACGGGAAGAACAUACGAGCUCCACACAGAAAGGCCCCAGCCAGGAUUCAAACCCAGGACCUUCUUGCUGUGAGGUGGAUGAGACCCAUAUCUAUGUAAACUGCAGUCACUGCCCUGACUAGAAGAGGAACACUGUUGGCAAGUGCUGUG